AGGAGCAGUCAGCAGGCCCGAGGAGGCAGGACUUCCUGGUGUGGGGGUUGUCAACAGCCCAGAAAGAGAAAGGCAGAGAGACAGAACCGAGAGGAGCCGAGAAGCGAAGAGAGACCCAGCCGUGCCACGCGGAGGAGUUUUGGGAGACCCACUCGCCCCAACCACCCAGGCGGCUCCACCUGGAGGAUCGGGGGCGGGGGGCGGGAGGGGGGGGCAGAGCCGCCUCUUCCCGCACCGGUCUGGAGACCCUUGGGGCUUCAGAGGCCGCGCCUGGGUUCCACCAAGGAGGCGGGGGAUCCUUCUUUUCCGGAGAGCAAACUUUUUACCGAGAUGCCUUGUGGGGCAAAGUGCGGUCCCCGAAGAGAACUGGACAGCCUCUGAUUCCCGCCGGCGCCCCCCGCGCUGCUGGGGCCAAGAGGCCCCAGGGGAAGGACAACCCGACAUCUUAGGCGGCCGGGACCCCCGGCCCAGCUCGGUGGCCGAGGCCGAGAGUUUGCAAACUCAGCUCUGGAGUUGGGCAGCGCCAGCGGCAGGAAAAACCUGCCCCUGCCCCCACCUCCUGCCGCCUCCCCUGCCCUGUGCUCCCUUCACCAACCCAGCACCCCCAGUUCCUGCAGGGCCCUCCGGCCAUGUCGGACCCAGAUGUCCCCAGGGGCCCUGAUGCCCCCGCCAUGUGGCCCCCCUGUUCCAGGGGUGCCUGAGCCCCUUCGAGGAGCCCCAGCUGCACCCCCGCCCACCUUGGCCGAGUCCUAGCCCCAGGGACCAUGAGUGGGGGCAAGAAGAAGAGUAGUUUCCAAAUCACCAGCGUCACCACGGACUAUGAGGGCCCAGGGAGCCCAGGGGGUUCUGAGCCCCCUGCCUUGCCCACCCCCACUGGGCCCCCACCCCGCCUGCCUAAUGGGGAGCCCAACCCCGAGCAGGGGGGCAAGAGCACCCCCCGGAAUGGCUCCCCACCGCCUGGGGCCCCUGCCUCCCGUUUCCGGGUGGUAAAGCUGCCCCACGGCCUGGGAGAGCCUUACCGCCGAGGCCGUUGGACGUGUGUGGAUGUUUACGAGAGAGACCUGGAGCCCCCAGGCUUUGGCCGGCUCCUGGAGGGAAUUCGAGGGGCCUCAGGAGGCACUGGGGGCAGAUCUCUGGAUUCCAGGUUGGAGCUGGCCAGCUUGGGCCUGGGUUCCCCAACUCCACAGCCAGGCCUGUCUCAGGGCCCCACCUCCUGGCUCCGUCCGCCCCCCACCUCCCCUGGACCUCAGGCCCGCUCCUUAACCGGGGGGCUGGGCCAGCUGGCAAUGCCUGGCAAGGCCAAGGUGGAGACACCCCCACUGUCAGCCUCCCCACCCCAGCAGCGCCCCCCAGAGCCCCGGACUGGGGAUAGCGCGGGCCCAUCCCGGGCUGCCACGCCCCUGCCAUCCCUGAGGGUGGAAGCGGAGGCUGGAGGCUCAGCAACAGGGACCCCUCCCCUGUCCCGGUCAAAGGAUGGAGCCCUGCGGCUGAGGAUGGAGUUGGUCGCUCCAGAGGAGAUGGGGCAGGUGCCCCCACUCGACUCUCGCCCCGGCUCCCCAGCCCUUUACUUGUUCCCCGAUGCCAGUCUGGUUCACAAGUCUCCAGACCCCUUUGGAGCAGCAGCAGCCCAGAGCCUCAGCCUGGCCCGCUCCAUGCUGGCCAUCAGUGGCCACCUGGACAGCGAUGAUGAUAGGGAAGCGAGUUGGAACCGACCAUCAGGAGAAAGGGCUUGCAACCGGAGCACAGGAGUGCAGGAUGCCACAUGUUGAGAUCACCCACUCUGAGGGGGGCAAAGCUUGAGGGCUGGAGGACAGGAUCAUGGGUGAUCCUGCAGCACAAGGGGGGGCGGGCCUGGGUGUAGAGGUGGCCCCAGGGCUGAGGUGGCUGAGGGAGAGGUUGGUCAGGUGCGGGUCAUGAGCUAGGGCAUGAAGCAGGAGGCUGAGACCCAAGUGGUGACAAGAGGGAGACUUAGGGGAUAGGGCGAGGCGGAAAGACUUGUGCAGACUCUUGGCCUCCCUUGGCCUCAGAGGGGCAAGACUUGCUUGAGGGAUCCUGAGGCCGGCCCUGGAACCGUUCGGCCAGGCCUGAGUCGACCUCUGGUGGCCGCUUAACAAACUGCAGCCAGGUCUGCUCUCCCCUAUCAUUGGCUCCCAAGGGCCUUCAAAACCCUUGCUCCAAUUCUCCAUGUCCCAUCUCCAGCCUCACUUUCCCACCUCCCCUCAAGUCUUUGUUCCCUCCAAGACCCCAGACCCGAGACCCCGGUUCCAGAUCCAUAGGCUGUGCUUGUUUAUCAGGGCUCUGUUUUCAUUGCUUUGGUAACCUUUCCAUUCUUCUCCCUCAGAGACCUUCUGGCCAGGCCCCAGGGUCACCCAUGAUGUGGGCUUUGUGUCUGGGGCAGGGGGUGCUUACAAGUCCAAGGAAGAUGACAAGUUAAUCCGAAACACCACACCACCCACCCCCAUCCCAGCAGAGUGGAGCUGAGGGCUUGAGGGAGACCAGUGUUAGUUCAGAGGGGAUGGGAUGGGUGGAGAAGUGGGGACGUCUCCCUAGGCCAGGCUGUCCCUCACCCUUCACACCCCUCUCUGACCCAAGCCUCAGGCCCCAGAGUCCCUCCCCCGACCCAGCCCACCAGCUGACUUCCCUCAGCCUGCCCCCUUCCCUCUGCUCUGGGAUUGGUGCCAGGGUGAGAAGGGGACAUUGGCACUGAUCGUGUCUGGGAAUUCCCGCCCACCAUGGAGGUUGGUGGGAGGGGGUCCCCGUGUCCCUGAGGAGCCAAUAGCAGCCAGGCUUUGCCCUGGGGGGCGGUGUAUAUCUUUCAGACCAGCACCCCCUAGGCACUGUCUCCUUUCCGUCUGCCUGGCACCAGCCAGACCCCGCUCUGCCCCGGGGGGCUCUGAGCCCCCCAGGCAGUCCAUCUGAUACAGCCCUCUCCCUCUGGGGGUUGCCUAAAGCCCUUUCCCUUGGGAAUGGCCCAGCCAGGCAUCUCUGUCAAGUCCCUGGUGUCAUCGUAUGAGACCCGAGUGGUGGGGAUGGCUCCAGGGCCUCCCCGGAAAAGGGGCUGUGUCUCCUCUCCUUGCUCUCCUCGGGGAGCAUCCCCCAUCCGAGGGGCAUCUGCACCCCCGCCUCACCGGGGCCUGGGGGGGCCUGGACAGCGGCCCUCACCCCGCCGGGGGAUGGACAAAACCCUCCUCUCCCUGAUUCUCUACUGUCACAGCGGCUCCGGAAGCCUGGUUGGCAUUGACAACAAGAUCGAACAAGCCAUGGACUUGGUGAAGUCCCACCUCAUGUUUGCGGUCCGGGAAGAGGUGGAGGUGCUGAAGGAGCAGAUCCGAGACCUGGCCGAGCGGAAUG